GAUGAACGCUGGCGGCGUGCUUAACACAUGCAAGUCGAACGGAAAGGCGCUGCUUUUGUGGGGUGCUCGAGUGGCGAACGGGUGUGUAACACAUGAGUAUCCCGUCCCUGACAGUGGGAUAACUUCAGGAAAAAGGGGCUAAUAUAGGAUAGGAGCUCUUGCUGCACGGGGGGGGAUGGAAAGUUUCGGCGGUUGGGGAUGGACUCGCGGCUUAUCAGCUUGUUGGUGGGGUAGUGGCUUACCAAGGCUUUGACGGGUAGCCGGCCUGAGAGGGUGACCGGCCACAAUGGGCCUGCGGUACGGCCCAGUCUCCUACCGGAGGCAACAGUGGGGAAUAUUGCGCAAUGGGCCGGAGCCUGUUGCAGCAACCCCCCGUGCGGAAUACCGGCCUUCGGGUUGUAAACCGCUUUCGCCUGUGACGAGGCGUGAGUGACGGUACUGAGUAAAGAAGCACCGGCUAACUACGUG
rnacentral:rRNA from 1 species